CGGUGUCGUGGUCAACAACUGCCCUUUUUUUUACCCCCGAAAAGUGGGGGUGCACCCCCUGCACCGGUGCUUCUGGCGCGCUUGACUCAGAGGUCUCCACCUUAUUUGAAUGCCUUUCCUACAAUGAAAACAAUCACAGGAGGCUGGCUCUUGUACAAAGCAGCUGGUGGAAAUGGA